AUUGAACGCUGGCGGCAGGCCUAACACAUGAAAGUCGAACGGGCUGGCGGACGGGUGAGUAAUGCCUAGGAAUAUGCCUGGUAGUGGGGGAUAACGUCCGGAAACGGGAGCUAAUACCGCAUACUAUCAGAUGAGGCUAGGUUGGAUUAGCUAGUUGGUGGGUGACAGGCUUACCAAGGCGACGAUCCGUAACUGGUCUGAGAGGAUGAUCAGUCACACGGGAACUGAGACACGGCCCAGACUCCUACGGGAGGAAGCAGUGGGGAAUAUUGGACAAUGGGCGAAAGCCUGAUCCAGCCAUGCCGCGUGUGUGAAGAAGGUCUUCGGAUUGUAAAGCACUUUAAGUUGGGAGGCGUUACCAACAGAAUAAGCACCGGCUAACUUCGUGCCAGCAGCCGCGGUAAUAC
rnacentral:rRNA from 1 species